rnacentral:rRNA from 1 species
UACGUAGGCAGCGAGCGUUGUUCGGAGUUACUGGGCGUAAAGAGUGCGUAGGCGGUUUUCUAAGUUUGGUGUGAAAUCCCCGGGCUCAACCCGGGAACUGCGUCCGAUACUGGCAGGCUUGAAUCCGGGAGAGGGAUGUGGAAUUCCAGGUGUAGCGGUGAAAUGCGUAGAUAUCUGGAGGAACACCGGUGGCGAAGGCGGCAUCCUGGACCGGUAUUGACGCUGAUGCGCGAAAGCCAGGGGAGCAAACGGG